AUCAUCAAUGGGAGGUGUCUCCUUCUCUAACUGGCUGUGCAUGUGACCUCAUAGACCCCAUAUAAGGAGUGGGGACAAGGAAGUAGGGCUAGGGCAGGAGGUGAACACAUGGAAUAAAGAUCUUAAGCUUAUAUGCAGCUGGCCUCUGUUGAAUGAUGGCCAGAGAUUCUGAAGACCUCUGAUUGAGAUCUCUUGAUUAUAGGAGUCAAAAGCAUGAGAGUGGGGCGGGAAGGAGUUCAGGAGCAAGGCAACUUCUUUUCUUCACCAAGGAGACAUAAAUAUGUAAACUCAGAACAAGAAGAAAACUGCAAGAAGAAAGUGUUGCUUCUCCAAGGACAUGUUUCUUCUCUGUGAUCACUUCUGAUCCACACUGGUUGGUCUGGCACCUGAGAGUAGGAGAAGCCUUGUCCUUCAUUCUUUCCCUCCUUAUCUGUUUAAUAUUCUUUAUGAAGUAAAAAUAUGUAAGAAGAAAGUUCCUGAGUCUGUGAAAUGAAAGUUUGUGACAUGGAAUUUCUAGAGGCAAGAAUGAGGUGAAA